UGAAAGUGUUGCAGAAAUCAAGCUAUCAAGA
rnacentral:piRNA from 1 species